AUUGAACGCUGGCGGCAGGCCUAACACAUGCAAGUCGAGCGGAUGAAGGGAGCUUGCUCCUGGAUUCAGCGGCGGACGGGUGAGUAAUGCCUAGGAAUCUGCCUGGUAGUGGGGGAUAACGUCCGGAAACGGGCGCUAAUACCGCAUACGUCCUGAGGGAGAAAGUGGGGGAUCUUCGGACCUCACGCUAUCAGAUGAGCCUAGGUCGGAUUAGCUAGUUGGUGGGGUAAAGGCCUACCAAGGCGACGAUCCGUAACUGGUCUGAGAGGAUGAUCAGUCACACUGGAACUGAGACACGGUCCAGACUCCUACGGGAGGCAGCAGUGGGGAAUAUUGGACAAUGGGCGAAAGCCUGAUCCAGCCAUGCCGCGUGUGUGAAGAAGGUCUUCGGAUUGUAAAGCACCUUAAGUUGGGAGGAAGGGCAGUAAGUUAAUACCUUGCUGUUUUGACGUUACCAACAGAAUAAGCACCGGCUAACUU
rnacentral:rRNA from 1 species